rnacentral:miRNA from 12 species
CCUCUGAAGCUCUCUAAUGGGGUCUGGGCAAAGGAUGAAGCUGUGAUGUUUGGCACUAGAAUGCCACAGGGUCAGGCAGCCACACAGGGAGAAUGCUUG